UUGCUCCUCCGAUACGGGCUGCUUCUUCUUCCAACAAGGACUUGACACCACAUGUGGGCUUCCAGUGGAACUUCACAUAGGUUGAUUUCCCAGCCUUGUUGAUCAAUGUGAAUGUGUGGACACCAGAACCGUCCAUAUGCCUGUAAUCUUGUGGAAUACCAAUAUCGUCGAAGAGGAAAGUGAACAUGUGCAGGCUUUCAGGAACAUGAGAGAAAAAAUCAAGGACCCUCCAAUUCUCCUGGAUAUGGGAUUUAGGAUUUGGCUUCAGCGCGUGGACCAUGUCAGGGAACUUCAUUCCAUCACGGAUGAAGAAGACGGGGAAGUUGUUCCCUACCAGAUCAAAGUUUCCCUGAGGCAGAGGAGGCAUAUCAGAAUUCAGGCAGAAGAUAAGGAUUAACUUCAAAUACAAUCAACAAAUCCCAAACAUAAUGCAGGCAUGUUUAAAAAACUAAAUACGAGAUCAUUUCUCGAUGAGAGUAUGAAAAAUUAGGCAGCAUAAUAGUGACUGCAAGGUAUUGAAUAUCACAGGGCGCUAUGGUCUCUACUACGGUGUUAAGCAACAUGAACAAUCACUAUCAUAUUACAUAACCUGAUAGAAGCAAAUAAGUAGACCCAUAUGCAGGGUAUUUAAAAAUAGGUCCCUAAGACAUGCAGAUACAAACAUUAAAUGAAGUCCAUAUCGUGUUUAAGCUGCAAAAUAACAUCCUCUACUAAGCAGUCCAGGCAACACUUAAUUAAGGAGGAACAUAUUUGUAAGUCGUGUGCAAAUAAGGAAAGUGAUAAAUAUAAUCCAGUCUGUAUAUGGAAAUUGAAGAUAUAAUGCUGAAUGAAUGAACUAGUAUUUGUAACUUGUCAAAUUAAAUGUUGCAAUUCGCGUACCUCUCUGGUGUAGAACUUGACAGCAAAACCACGAGGGUCCCUCAGAGUUUCAGGACUACCCCUCUCAUGUAUAACAGUGGAGAAUCUCACAAUGACAGGAGUCUGGACACCGGGAGCUCGAAGGAAAUCAGCACAGGUAAGGUGAGUGAUGUCAUGGGUAACUUCGAAAAACCCUUUGGCACUAGCACCUCGGGCAUGAACAACACGUUCAGGGACACGUUCCCUGUCAAAAUUGGCAAGUUUCUCCACCAAAUGGUAAUCCUCGAGCAAUACAGGACCUGCCAAGAAAAUUAUGAGCAGCCACAGACACAAAUAUGUAAAAGAGUCUAUCAUACAACAACAUCGCUCUCAGUAUCAAGUUCGAUAUAGUAAUCUAAAAAUAGAGUGAUAACAUGUUAUAACUGGUUAAAUUGCACUGAUUGUAAAGUUUCUUCAUACUCUAAGCAUGUAGUAUAACUUAAACUCUGUAAAAUUAACAUUAGUCUUACAAGGUGCUCAUUAUGUUAGCAAACAUCUUGAGAAUAACUUAACAAUAGCUAUUUUCGAACUGAUAUUGAAAUAAGCAACGUCUUAGCUAAGCGUGGAGCAUAUAAUAAUAUUAACUCGUUACACUUACAACAAUGAGUUUAACUUAUGUGUGACAGUGUAAAAAAUAUUUACGCAAUCAGGUCAGUUAUUAGUAAAGUACAGCUAAAUUCUUUUGAUAAACAUUAAUUGUUGAUCCGGUAAAAAUGGUAACUAACUUCCUAUCACAAGUUAAAUUCACUAAUAGUGUAAAAAUAUCUUUAUACUGUCAGUGUAUACAACUUAUAUCCAGAAGUUAAAUCCUACAAAAAUUAUUGGCAAGAACACAUUUUUGCACACAACCAGAAGUAGUUAUCAAGAGACAUGAGGCCAUCUUCAUAAGUCUCAGUUUCCACUCAAGUUGUUGCAAAAUGGAAGUAUAAGAAAUUCUUGUUUGAACUGAUUUUAAGACAAAAAAAGUCAAUAUGAGUCAUACCUCUUGCACCAACAGUAAGAGAUGAAUUGUUGUUAAAAACAGGAGCACCAGAAUUAGUGGUGCAGAAUGGAGAAUUGAAGGCACUUGACGGACGGUACUGCAUUAUAACAACAACAGCAACAGAACCAUACAUAAGUUUCAUAGGAAAUUAAGAAAUUCUGAAAUUAGACAUGACAUGCAUGCACACAGUAAAACAGUGAACUGCAGCCAACUUACUUAGAGAAACAUUAGGAAAGUAGUUAAGCAAACAAUAAUAAUAGUAUUGUUUGUUCAAAACCGAAACUCAUAUAGCCAAUCAACUAGCGGGUUCAAAAAUCGAGACAUCUGGUUAACGAUGGAGAUUCCAACCAUUCCACCACGUUCCCUCGGUAAUAACACUAUUAUAAUUUAACAACAGCUGAAAUUUCCAAGUGAGAAAGGGCAUAAGUUGGAGAGAAGAAUUAGAAUUGUACCUUGUAUGGAUCCAUUAGUUGCCUUUCUUUUGCUUCAGAAAGCUAAAGAGAGAGUUGUAGUUGAAUAACUAAAGAAAAAAGAGGAUGAAGGGGGACGU
rnacentral:lncRNA from 1 species